CAUCCGCCGCGGUAAUACCGAGGGUGCGAGCGUUAAUCGGAUUUACUGGGCGUAAAGCGUGCGUAGGCGGCUUCUUAAGUCGGAUGUGAAAUCCCUGAGCUUAACUUAGGAAUUGCAUUCGAUACUGGGAAGCUAGAGUAUGGGAGAGGAUGGUAGAAUUCCAGGUGUAGCGGUGAAAUGCGUAGAGAUCUGGAGGAAUACCGAUGGCGAAGGCAGCCAUCUGGCCUAAUACUGACGCUGAGGUACGAAAGCAUGGGGAGCAAACAGGAUUAGAUACCCCAGUAGUCCCUGUCUCUUAUAA
rnacentral:rRNA from 1 species